GCUGGGUGUGGUGGCACGUACCUGUAAUCCCAGCUACUUGGGAGGCUGAGGCAGGAGAAUCGCUUGAACCCGGGAGGUGGAGGUUACAGCGAGUCCUGAUCAUGCCACUGCAGUCCAGUCUGGGCAACAGAGCGAGACUCUGUCAAAAAAAACUACAACACUGCAGUGAGCUAUGAUCAUGCCAUUGCACUCUAGCCUGGGCAACAGAGUGAGACCCUGUCUCU
rnacentral:sRNA from 1 species